rnacentral:rRNA from 1 species
UCAAGUGAAGAAGCGCAUACGGUGGAUGCCUUGGCAGUCAGAGGCGAUGAAAGACGUGGUAGCCUGCGAAAAGCUUCGGGGAGUCGGCAAACAGACUGUGAUCCGGAGAUGUCUGAAUGGGGGAACCCAGCCAUCAUAAGAUGGUUAUCUUGUACUGAAUACAUAGGUGCAAGAGGCGAACCAGGGGAACUGAAACAUCUAAGUACCCUGAGGAAAAGAAAUCAACCGAGAUUCCCUUAGUAGUGGCGAGCGAACGGGGACCAGCCCUUAAGUUGUAUUGAGAUUAGCGGAACGUUCUGGAAAGGACGGCCAUAGUGGGUGAUAGCCCUGUACGCGAAAAUCCCUUUGCAAUGAAAUCGAGUAGGACGGGGCACGAGAAACCUUGUCUGAAUAUGGGGGGACCAUCCUCCAAGGCUAAAUACUACUGACUGACCGAUAGUGAACCAGUACCGUGAGGGAAAGGCGAAAAGAACCGCGGAGAGCGGAGUGAAAUAGAUCCUGAAACCGUAUGCGUACAAGCAGUGGGAGCCCACUUUGUUGGGUGACUGCGUACCUUUUGUAUAAUGGGUCAGCGACUUAUUUUCAGUGGCGAGCUUAACCGAAUAGGGGAGGCGUAGCGAAAGCGAGUCUUAAUAGGGCGUCUAGUCGCUGGGAAUAGACCCGAAACCGGGCGAUCUAUCCAUGGGCAGGUUGAAGGUUGGGUAACACUAACUGGAGGACCGAACCGACUACCGUUGAAAAGUUAGCGGAUGACCUGUGGAUCGGAGUGAAAGGCUAAUCAAGCUCGGAGAUAGCUGGUUCUCCUCGAAAGCUAUUUAGGUAGCGCCUCAUGUAUCACUGUAGGGGGUAGAGCACUGUUUCGGCUAGGGGGUCAUCCCGACUUACCAAACCGAUGCAAACUCCGAAUACCUACAAGUGCCGAGCAUGGGAGACACACGGCGGGUGCUAACGUCCGUCGUGAAAAGGGAAACAACCCAGACCGUCAGCUAAGGUCCCAAAGUCAUGGUUAAGUGGGAAACGAUGUGGGAAGGCUUAGACAGCUAGGAGGUUGGCUUAGAAGCAGCCACCCUUUAAAGAAAGCGUAAUAGCUCACUAGUCGAGUCGGCCUGCGCGGAAGAUGUAACGGGGCUCAAACCAUGCACCGAAGCUACGGGUAUCAUCUUUUGAUGAUGCGGUAGAGGAGCGUUCUGUAAGCCUGUGAAGGUGAGUUGAGAAGCUUGCUGGAGGUAUCAGAAGUGCGAAUGCUGACAUGAGUAACGACAAUGGGUGUGAAAAACACCCACGCCGAAAGACCAAGGUUUCCUGCGCAACGUUAAUCGACGCAGGGUUAGUCGGUCCCUAAGGCGAGGCUGAAAAGCGUAGUCGAUGGAAAACAGGUUAAUAUUCCUGUACUUCUGGUUAUUGCGAUGGAGGGACGGAGAAGGCUAGGCCAGCCUGGCGUUGGUUGUCCAGGUUUAAGGUGGUAGGCUGAGAUCUUAGGUAAAUCCGGGAUCUUAAGGCCGAGAGCUGAUGACGAGUGCUCUUUUAGAACACGAAGUGGUUGAUGCCAUGCUUCCAAGAAAAGCUUCUAAGCUUCAGGUAACCAGGAACCGUACCCCAAACCGACACAGGUGGUUGGGUAGAGAAUACCAAGGCGCUUGAGAGAACUCGGGUGAAGGAACUAGGCAAAAUGGCACCGUAACUUCGGGAGAAGGUGCGCCGGUGGAGGUGAAGCAUUUACUGCGUAAGCCCCUGCCGGUCGAAGAUACCAGGCCGCUGCGACUGUUUAUUAAAAACACAGCACUCUGCAAACACGAAAGUGGACGUAUAGGGUGUGACGCCUGCCCGGUGCCGGAAGGUUAAUUGAUGGGGUUAGCGCAAGCGAAGCUCUUGAUCGAAGCCCCGGUAAACGGCGGCCGUAACUAUAACGGUCCUAAGGUAGCGAAAUUCCUUGUCGGGUAAGUUCCGACCUGCACGAAUGGCGUAACGAUGGCGGCGCUGUCUCCACCCGAGACUCAGUGAAAUUGAAAUCGCUGUGAAGAUGCAGUGUAUCCGCGGCUAGACGGAAAGACCCCGUGAACCUUUACUAUAGCUUUGCACUGGACUUUGAAUUUGCUUGUGUAGGAUAGGUGGGAGGCUUUGAAGCGUGGACGCCAGUCUGCGUGGAGCCAACCUUGAAAUACCACCCUGGCAACUUUGAGGUUCUAACUCAGGUCCGUUAUCCGGAUCGAGGACAGUGUAUGGUGGGUAGUUUGACUGGGGCGGUCUCCUCCUAAAGAGUAACGGAGGAGUACGAAGGUGCGCUCAGACCGGUCGGAAAUCGGUCGUAGAGUAUAAAGGCAAAAGCGCGCUUGACUGCGAGACAGACACGUCGAGCAGGUACGAAAGUAGGUCUUAGUGAUCCGGUGGUUCUGUAUGGAAGGGCCAUCGCUCAACGGAUAAAAGGUACUCCGGGGAUAACAGGCUGAUACCGCCCAAGAGUUCAUAUCGACGGCGGUGUUUGGCACCUCGAUGUCGGCUCAUCACAUCCUGGGGCUGAAGCCGGUCCCAAGGGUAUGGCUGUUCGCCAUUUAAAGUGGUACGCGAGCUGGGUUUAGAACGUCGUGAGACAGUUCGGUCCCUAUCUGCCGUGGACGUUUGAGAUUUGAGAGGGGCUGCUCCUAGUACGAGAGGACCGGAGUGGACGAACCUCUGGUGUUCCGGUUGUCACGCCAGUGGCAUUGCCGGGUAGCUAUGUUCGGAAAAGAUAACCGCUGAAAGCAUCUAAGCGGGAAACUUGCCUCAAGAUGAGAUCUCACUGGAACCUUGAGUUCCCUGAAGGGCCGUCGAAGACUACGACGUUGAUAGGUUGGGUGUGUAAGCGCUGUGAGGCGUUGAGCUAACCAAUACUAAUUGCCCGUGAGGCUUGACCAU